rnacentral:rRNA from 1 species
GCAGUCGAACGAGAACCAGGCUUCGGCCUGGGGACAGUGGCGUAAGGGCGAGUAAUGCGCUCCUACGUACCCCGAGGUGGGGGAUAGCCGUGGGAAACUGCGGGUAAUACCCCAUGUGCUCUUCGGAGCAAAGCUACGGCGCCUUGGGAGCGGGGAGCGUCCUAUCAGGUUGUUGGUGAGGUAAAGGCUCACCAAGCCUUAGACGGGUAGCGGGUGUGAGAGCAUGACCCGCCGCAUCGGGACUGAGACACUGCCCGGACUCCUACGGGAGGCUGCAGCGACGAAUCUUCCGCAAUGCACGAAAGUGUGACGGAGCAAUGCCGCGUGCAGGAUGAAGCGGCUUCGCCGUGUAAACUGCUGUCAGGGUCUAGGAACACUGACCAGACCCAGAGGAAGGGCCGGCUAACCUCGUGCCAGCAGCCGCGGUAAGACGAGGGGCCCAAGCGUUAUUCGGAAUCACUGGGCUUAAAGCGUGCGCAGGCGGAUGCGCAAGCGUCCCGUGAAAUCCCUCGGCUCAACCGGGGAAUUGCGGGGCGAACUGCGUGUCUUGAGGCAGGUAGAGGCGGUCGGAACGCUAGGUGGAGCGGUGAAAUGCGUAGAGAUCUAGCGGAACGCCGAAGGAGAAGUCAGGCCGCUGGGCCUGUCCUGACGCUCAUGCACGAAAGCGUGGGGAGCAAACGGGAUUAGAUACCCUGGUA